rnacentral:lncRNA from 1 species
GUACAUGCAGGUAAGGAGGGGUAUAAAGAAUUAAGGGACCAAUUGUCUAAUGCCCAACAAUCAAAAUUAACCCAAAAAUAAAAGAAAUUGAUAAAUAAAAAAAUUAAGGAAAAUAUAACUUAUGUUGGCAGCUCCCCACGAGGCUUAACGUCCAUGCCUUCUUUAUUUUUAUCAAUCUUUAAAAUGGGCGAAUAACAUGGUGACACAUGGCAUGCUUAUUAUAAAAAAAACAAAAAAAUAAUCCUUUCAUUCUCUCAUUCUCACGUUAUGCUUU